CAGCAGCCGCGGUAAUACGUAGGGUGCGAGCGUUAAUCGGAAUUACUGGGCGUAAAGCGUGCGCAGGCGGUUCGUUAAGUCUGAUGUGAAAGCCCCGGGCUCAACCUGGGAAUGGCAUUGGAAACUGGCGAGCUGGAGUGCGGCAGAGGGGGGUGGAAUUCCGCGUGUAGCAGUGAAAUGCGUAGAGAUGCGGAGGAACACCGAUGGCGAAGGCAGCCCCCUGGGCCGACACUGACGCUCAGGCACGAAAGCGUGGGGAGCAAACAGGAUUAGAUACCCUGGUAGUCCACGCCCUAAACGAUGUCGACUGGGUGUUGGGAGAGAGAUCUCUUGGUACCGUAGCUAACGCGUGAAGUCGACCGCCUGGGGAGUACGGCCGCAAGGUUAAAACUCAAAGGAAUUGACGG
rnacentral:rRNA from 1 species